UACGUAGGGUGCGAGCGUUGUCCGGAAUUAUUGGGCGUAAAGAGCUUGUAGGCGGUUUGUCGCGUCUGCCGUGAAAAUUCGAGGCUCAACCUCGAACUUGCGGUGGGUACGGGCAGACUAGAGUGUGGUAGGGGAGACUGGAAUUCCUGGUGUAGCGGUGAAAUGCGCAGAUAUCAGGAGGAACACCAAUGGCGAAGGCAGCUCUCUGGGACGGUACUGACACUGAGACGCGAAAGCGUGGGGAGCGAACAGG
rnacentral:rRNA from 1 species